UACGUAGGGUGCGAGCGUUAAUCGGAAUUACUGGGCGUAAAGCGUGCGUAGGCGGUACCUCAAGUCCGUUGUGAAAGCCCCGGGCUCAACCUGGGAAUGGCAGUGGAAACUAGGGGACUGGAAUCUGGCAGAGGGGGGUGGAAUGCCGCGUGUAGCAGUGAAAUGCGUAGAUAUGUGGAGGAACACCGAUGGCGAAGGCAGCCCCCUGGGUUAACACUGACGCUCAUGCACGAAAGCGUGGGGAGCAAACAGG
rnacentral:rRNA from 1 species